rnacentral:rRNA from 1 species
AUUGAACGCUGGCGGCAGGCCUAACACAUGCAAGUCGAACGAGUGGCGGACGGGUGAGGAAUGUCUGGGAAACUGUCUGAUGGAGGGGGAUAACCACUGGAAACGGUAGCCAAUACCGCACAACACUGGAUGUGCCCAGACUGGAUUAGACAGUAGGUGGGGUAAAGGCUCAACUAGGCGACGAUCCCUAGCUGGUCUGAGAGGAUGACCGGCCACACUGGAACUGAGACACGGUCCAGACUCCUACGGGAGGCAGCAGUAGGGAAUAUUGCACAAUGGGCGCAAGCCUGAUGCAGCCAUGCCGCGUGUAUGAAGAAGGCCUUCGGGUUGUAAAGUACUUUCAGCGGGGAGGCGUUACCCGCAGAAGAAGCACCGGCUAACUCCGUGCCAGCAGCCGCGGUAAUAC